rnacentral:rRNA from 1 species
GAUGAACGCUAGCGGCAGGCUUAACACAUGCAAGUCGAGGGGCAGCGUGAUGAAGUAGCAAUACGGAUUUGACGGCGACCGGCGCACGGGUGCGUAACGCGUAUGUAACCUACCUUUAACAGGGGGAUAACACUGAGAAAUUGGUACUAAUACCCCAUAAUACUUUAGGAGGCAUCUCUUAGAGUUGAAAGUUCCGGCGGUUAAAGAUGGACAUGCGUUGUAUUAGCUAGAUGGUGAGGUAACGGCUCACCAUGGCGACGAUACAUAGGGGGACUGAGAGGUUAACCCCCCACACUGGUACUGAGACACGGACCAG